rnacentral:rRNA from 1 species
GAUGAACGCUGGCGGCGUGCCUAAUACAUGCAAGUCGAGCGAACAGACGAGGAUCUUGCUCCUCUGACGUUAGCGGCGGACGGGUGAGUAACACGUGGAUAACCUACCUAUAAGACUGGGAUAACGUCGGGAAACCGGAGCUAGUACCGGAUAAUAUAUUGAACCGCAUGGUUCAAUGGUGAAAGACGGUUUUGCUGUCACUUAUAGAUGGAUCCGCGCCGCAUUAGCUAGUUGGUAAGGUAACGGCUUACCAAGGCAACGAUGCGUAGCCGACCUGAGAGGGUGAUCGGCCACACUGGAACUGAGACACGGUCCAGACUCCUACGGGAGGCAGCAGUAGGGAAUCUUCCGCAAUGGGCGAAAGCCUGACGGAGCAACGCCGCGUGAGUGAUGAAGGUCUUCGGAUCGUAAAACUCUGUUAUUAGGGAAGAACAAAUGUGUGAGUAACUAUGCACGUCUUGACGGUACCUAAUCAGAAAGCCACGGCUAACUACGUG